AUUGAACGCUGGCGGCAGGCCUAACACAUGCAAGUCGAGCGAGAAAGCCUUCGGGUGAGUACAGCGGCGGACGGGUGAGUAACGCGUAGGAAUCUACCUGGUAGUGGGGGACAACAUGGGGAAACCCAUGCUAAUACCGCAUACGCCCUAUGGGGGAAANCGGGGGACCUUCGGGCCUCGCGCUAUCAGAUGAGCCUGCGUAGGAUUAGCUUGUUGGUGAGGUAAAGGCUCACCAAGGCGACGAUCCUUAGCUGGUCUGAGAGGAUGAUCAGCCACACUGGAACUGAGACACGGUCCAGACUCCUACGGGAGGCAGCAGUGGGGAAUAUUGCGCAAUGGGCGAAAGCCUGACGCAGCCAUGCCGCGUGUGUGAAGAAGGCCUCGGUUGUAAG
rnacentral:rRNA from 1 species